rnacentral:lncRNA from 1 species
GACUGCUUGGAGAGUAAGCUGAUGACGGACUGUACUUGGCAGACUGAGGAUUAUAGCUUGGAGAUGUAGGGCUGUAACUGGGCGAGGUUGGACUAUAACUAGGCGAGGUUGGGCUGUAACCAGGAGAAGUUGGGCUGUAGGCUGGCGAGGUAGGGCUGUAGGAUGGAGAUGUUGGACUGUAGGAAGGAGAAGUUGGGCUGUAGGAAGGCGAAGUUGGGCUGUAGGAUGGCGAAGUUGGGCUGUAGGAAGGAGACGUGGGACUGUAAGAUGGCGAAGUGGGGCUAUAUGCGGGGGAAGUGGGGCUGUAAGCAGGUGAAGUGGGGCUGUAAGCAGGGGAAGUAGGGCUGUAGCUUGGUGAAGUGGGGCUGUAGCUUGGAGAGGUGGGGCUGUAGCUGGGAGAGGUUGGCGAGUAUGAUGGACUCGUAGGAGAGUAAGCUGGACUGGUGGGACUAUAGCCGGAGAACUAGGACUAUAUGUCGGAGAGGUGGGACUGUACCCAGGAGAAGUGGGGCUAUACCCUGGAGAGGUGGGACUGUAGCCAGGAGAAGUGGGGCUGUAUCCAGGGGAGGAAGGGCUGUAUCCAGGGGAUGAUGGGCUGUAGCCUGGAGAGGAAGUAGGAGAGAAUGCCAUUCCUCCAACAUAAGGAGAAAACUGAGCAUCCGAAAUUGGUGACAGCCGAAGAUUUGGGCUCAGCAAAU